GGUUGCGAUCAUACCAGCACUAAUGCACCGGAUCCCAUCAGAACUCCGCAGUCAAGCGUGCUUGGGCGAGAGUAGUACUAGGAUGGGUGACCCCCUGGGAAGUCCUCGUGUUGCAACCCCUUUUUUUUCGUUUUUUUGUGCUUUUUAUAUUUACUAGUCGAUGUAUCUUUGGCGUAGCAUCCGAUCGGCCGAUUUUGUGAAAGGAAGGCUUUGACAAAGACGCGCGCGCGCACGGCGGGCCCAAGGCGCGUGACGUAGGCCACGCAUGAGCGCAUAGGUGGGCAUGGGAUCAAGGCGUGGAAAGGUAUAAAGGAAUAUCAGCACUAAUGCACCGGAUCCCAUCAGAACUCCGCAGUUAAGCGGGCUUGGGCGAGAGUAGUACUAGGAUGGGUGUCCCCCUGGGAAGUCCUCGUGUUGCAACCC
rnacentral:lncRNA from 1 species